GACGAACGCUGGCGGCGUGCUUAACACAUGCAAGUCGUACGGUAAGGCCCUUUCGGGGGUACACGAGUGGCGAACGGGUGAGUAACACGUGAGUAACCUGCCCACAACUUUGGGAUAACGCUAGGAAACUGGUGCUAAUACUGGAUAUGUGCUCCUGCUGCAUGGUGGGGGUUGGAAAGCUCCGGCGGUUGCGGAUGGACUCGCGGCCUAUCAGCUUGUUGGUGGGGUAGUGGCCUACCAAGGCGGCGACGGGUAGCCGGCCUGAGAGGGUGACCGGCCACAUUGGGACUGAGAUACGGCCCAGACUCCUACGGGAGGCAGCAGUGGGGAAUAUUGCACAAUGGGCGCAAGCCUGAUGCAGCAACGCCGCGUGCGGGAUGACGGCCUUCGGGUUGUAAACCGCUUUCAGCAGGGACGAAGCUUUUUGUGACGGUACCUGCAGAAGAAGCACCGGCUAACUACGU
rnacentral:rRNA from 1 species